UAGUCCACAAUCCAGGACACGAGGGGGGCAUCCACCUGCAUCGCUGCCAGCUUCUCACCUAGCAGGGCUGGCAGGAUGGUGUUGAAAGCACUGGAGUCAACAUGCAUGAAAAAUACACAAAUGCAUCUCUUGGCUGUGUCUUUCCAUAUUCUAGUCAUUAAUGCGGAAGAAACAUUACACAUCAUAUACAGCUUUAAAUAAAAAACGUUAACAAAAUAAAUAUUAUCCCAGAUUAGUAUAUUUACAUAUUAUACAAGGAAGAAACUGUGCAGAUUUCAGGUCUGUCUGAUAAGUGACAGAGUGUGAUGAGGCGUCCAAUCAAAACACUGGACAGCGUAAAGGUGAAGAACAGCGUUUCCUCCAUCAGGUCCAUUAUUUUGUAUAUCAGCUGUGUACUAUGACUCUUAUACCACGGCCACUUACUGAAGAAUAUAAAGGCAGCGUGUGUUUUCAUCAUUAGCAGCUUUUACACUUUGUUUGUUGUCAUUUUACUCAUGUGAUGUGUGUGAAGCAUCAAAGUUGUUGCUAUGGUUACCUGCUGGUAUGUUUGAUGUGCUCUGAUGGACAGUUUUAUUACCUGCCAGCCAAUGGGAAACUGGUAUUUUCUGUGUCCGUGGUAUAAAGUUGAAUUCUAACAGU